GAUGAACGCUGGCGGCGUGCCUAAUACAUGCAAGUCGAGCGAAGCGGGGACGGGUGAGAAACACGUGGAUAACCCCCUAUAAGAAUGGGAUAACCUCGGGAAACCGGAGCUAAACCGGAUACUUAUAGAUGGAUCUGCGCGGGAUUAGCUAGUUGGUUAGGUAACGGCGUACCAAGGCAACGAUGCAUAGCCGAGGUGAGAGGGGUAGCGGCCUAACUGGGACUGAGACACGGUCCCGACUCCUACUGGAGGCAGCCGGAGGGAAUUUUCCACAAUGGGCGAAAUCCUUACGGAGCCUCGCCGCGGGAGUGAUGAAGGUCUUCGGAUUGUAAAACUCUGUUAUUAGGGAAGCGGUCCCUCAUCGGAAAGCCACGGCUAACUACGUGCCAGGAGCCGCGGUAAUUC
rnacentral:rRNA from 1 species